GGUUAACGCUGGCGGCGUGCCUAACACAUGCAAGUCGAACGGUUCUAAGCGCGAGCUUAGGAUAGUGGCGAACGGGUGAGUAAAAGGUAGGAAUCUACCCCUUGGACGGAGAUAGCUACUGGAAACGGUAGGUAAACUUCGAUAAGCCCGAGAGGGGAAAGUGGUGAGACAGCCGAGGGAUGAGCCUACUCUCCAUCAGGUAGUUGGUGAGAUAAAAGCUUACCAAGCCGAUGACGGAUAACCGGUGUGAGAGCAUGAACGGUCACAAGGGCACUGAGAGACGGGCCCUACUCCUACGGGAGGCAGCAGUGGGGAAUCUUGGACAAUGGGCGAAAGCCUGACCGAGCGACGCCGCGUGAGGGACGAAGGCCUUCGGGUUGUAAACCUCUGUCUGGGGGAGUGAGAACGGACGGUACCCCCGGACGGAAGCCCGGCUAACUACGUG
rnacentral:rRNA from 1 species